GAAAGAAAGAAGAAGAAGAAGAAGAAGAAGACGAGGAGGACUGCCUUCUCAUAGGAUUGGACUUUGGCAACGGUUGUGAGAUUCGUCUCUACGAGACACCAGGAGGCUGAUGGACAACACCUCAGUUAUUUCAGUUAAUACUUUUGAUGUAAAUGUUGAUGAAAUAUGUAAGAUGUAAAUAUUACACUUAUGGGUUGUUACAAA